rnacentral:rRNA from 1 species
UACGGAGGGGGCUAGCGUUGUUCGGGAUUACUGGGCGUAAAGCGCACGUAGGCGGCUUUGUAAGUUAGAGGUGAAAGCCCGGGGCUCAACUCCGGAACUGCCUUUAAGACUGCAUCGCUUGAAUCAUGGAGAGGUCAGUGGAAUUCCGAGUGUAGAGGUGAAAUUCGUAGAUAUUCGGAAGAACACCAGUGGCGAAGGCGACUGACUGGACAUGUAUUGACGCUGAGGUGCGAAAGCGUGGGGAGCAAACAGG